rnacentral:rRNA from 1 species
CAGCCGCCGCGGUAAUACGAAGGGGGCUAGCGUUGCUCGGAAUGACUGGGCGUAAAGGGCGCGUAGGCGGCGAUCAAAGUCAGGCGUGAAAUUCCUGGGCUCAACCUGGGGGCUGCGUUUGAUACUUGAUUGCUAGAGUGGGGAAGAGGGUCGUGGAAUUCCCAGUGUAGAGGUGAAAUUCGUAGAUAUUGGGAAGAACACCGGUGGCGAAGGCGGCGACCUGGUCCUUGACUGACGCUGAGGCGCGAAAGCGUGGGGAGCAAACAGGAUUAGAUACCCGAGUAGUCCCUGUCUCUUAUAC